AUAGCUGGCAAAACCACGG
rnacentral:misc_RNA from 1 species